rnacentral:rRNA from 1 species
AACGAACGCUGGCGGCAGGCUUAACACAUGCAAGUCGAACGCCCCGCAAGGGGAGUGGCAGACGGGUGAGUAACGCGUGGGAACAUACCCUUUCCUGCGGAAUAGCUCUGGGAAACUGGAAUUAAUACCGCAUACGCCCUACGGGGGAAAGAUUUAUCGGGGAAGGAUUGGCCCGCGUUGGAUUAGCUAGUUGGUGGGGUAAAGGCCUACCAAGGCGACGAUCCAUAGCUGGUCUGAGAGGAUGAUCAGCCACAUUGGGACUGAGACACGGCCCAAACUCCUACGGGAGGCAGCAGUGGGGAAUAUUGGACAAUGGGCGCAAGCCUGAUCCAGCCAUGCCGCGUGAGUGAUGAAGGCCUUAGGGUUGUAAAGCUCUUUCACCGAUGAAGAUAAUGACGGUAGUCGGAGAAGAAGCCCCGGCUAACUUCGUGCCAGCAGCCGCAUAAAAC